rnacentral:lncRNA from 1 species
GUUUUGUGCCACUGAAAAACAGCGCAGGAGAGCUGUCCUUACAAGAGAGAUGCUGGAGAUAUUUCUGGUGCAUUGAUUUGGAAAUCAUCAAGUAGAAUCCUAAAUGCCAAGGCCUGAAAACCUGUCUCCACUGUUCUUUCCUUCCCUUUUAAGGCUGGCAGAACUGCAAGCUGGGAUAACACCAAGCUACCUGCAGUACCUUGAGAACCCUCAGACAAGCCUGCAGAAAACCCACAUGUGAGGGACUGAGGCCCUCAGUUCAACAGGCCAUGAAGAACGGAGACCUUCUAACUACGACUUGAGUGGGUUCAGAAGUGGAUUUUUCAGCCCAAGCAGAGUCUUG